rnacentral:rRNA from 1 species
AAUGUCUGGGAAACUGCCUGAUGGAGGGGGAUAACUACUGGAAACGGUAGCUAAUACCGCAUAACGUCGCAAGACCAAAGUGGGGGACCUUCGGGCCUCAUGCCAUCAGAUGUGCCCAGAUGGGAUUAGCUAGUAGGUGGGGUAAUGGCUCACCUAGGCGACUAUCCCUAGCUGGUCUGAGAGGAUGACCAGCCACACUGGAACUGAGACACGGUCCAG